CUAACCGCCAUCCACGCCGCUCGCCGCCGGCCUUGACCCCCUCCCUCCCUGCCCUCCGAACACUAUCGCCGGCCAGAUCCACUGGAGCCCCCACCCCUGCCUCUCUCUCAUGACCCAUCUCUCUCUCCCGUACUGCACGCCGCUGCCACAUGUGCCACCCAAUUCUAGCAUUCAUCGGUGACACACGGCACCACGCAGCAAGGGGCUCGCAUCGCUCCGACCAGAUCCGAUAGGCGCCUCACUGGCCUCGGAUCAGGCAUGCAUGACCCGGUACCGCCACCGUCACGCCCGUCGCUGAGAUCCAUGGCGUUGGCCCGUGGCUGGUGCCGGGAGGCUUGGAUUCAUGCGUGCCCCGGUUGUGGGUCCUGGCCGUCCUCGGCGUCGUGUCCUAAAGGUGCACAAGAGACCUCGUCUCCACUCCAAGGCCAUUUGUACUGGCAUGGAGGUUGCUUGCCGGCCAUCCAUGAUGGUAAAGACCACCAGCGGCAGCAGGGCCAGCAAGACGGCGGCCACCAUCAACCGCUUCUUCCUGUCCCCAUCACCUUCCUUCAGCCUUCUCCCACCGUCGCCAAUCAAGAUUUGGUGUGCAAAGGCACAAUUUCCUUCUAGGGCUUCAUCUGCAAAUCCACAAAAGUAUGAAAGGAUCAACUUGUCGAAGUGGUAGAAGAAGCUAGGGUGAAAAGAGCAAAGCAGAUCUCACCUGUGGGGAGUGAGGACUCCCGCAGCCAACCAGUUGCCAUAGGAUGAUUGUCUGAUUCCUUGCGUGAUGCCUUCCUUCUGCUCCAACAACGACGCCGUUCGCCGCGGCUCUCUGAUGUCCGCCGUAGAUCUUCUCCAACAACCACCGCUAUUCUGACCAUGACGCCUCCUUGACGACUUGCCGCUGAUCUCCGAGGAUCAGCCGCUGCUCUUCUCCAACAACGGGGCUGCUGCUGAUUCUCUCAAGCCCGGAACUGGGACCAGAGAGAAGAACAAUCAAGAUCCAGGGAACUCCCCUCUCUUUACUCUUGUCUCUGUGAUGUCUAGUUUCUCUCUUGAAUGCCAAGGAUCACAUAUCUAGUAGAAUCAAGUUGUUCUCACUUAAAUUCAAUCACUUACCAUGUGACACUGAUUUUUUGUUAAUACACUGUCCAAGUCAUGAAUUUCUUGAACUGGUGCAUGUAUAUAUUUGGGUGCUAGUCAACUAGAGAAUGUCUGUGAUACCAUGUUUGUACUAUGUGCUAGUGUAGCUGUACCGAUGCAAAUACUGCUUGUGUACUUAUGGAGUAGUAAAUAGCCUUUCAUGUCAUUCUCCAAGUCUGCACAUAUCAUUGUUAUUUUAGGAGCAGAUCUCUCAUCCUUGUUUGCAUAAGAAACCUGAACUUGCUUAAAAGCCAAUUUAGUUGUGUAUUACCAGUUCAAGUUGUUUAGUAUCUAUCAUGUUCUGUUUUGCUACCGAACACCUUCAACUUAAAUGUUGAAUUGCCUUGGUACACAUAAUUGUUUUUAAUCUAAGGGGAAGCCCUUAAUAGUCAGCUGACCUUAUGAACCGUAUAAAUAUAUCAAAAUCAUGUGUUGUUAAAUUGAGCUUAUUGUCAAUUGGCAACCUCGUAUUGUAGUAGCUAGACCAUCUUGCACCAUCCCUCUAAUAAAGAAUAAAUCAUGAUGUUUCUGCUGCCAUAACUUGUUUUCUUGUUUACCAUCCAGGUACAAUGGGACCAAGCUCAUCCUCCUCGUCCCUAGCUACUACACGACUGCCGUCCUGCAUACUCCCUCCUGUUCAUGGAGCAUCUGGACCUCUUCAUGGAGGUUUGAAGCAUCUGUCAGUCAAAUUUUGAAGCAGGCCAAUUGGAAGCGGCACCAAUUGGCAGUGAGAGGCAGAAGAGGAAUUGUGACACCGUGUUCCAUGCUCCUUCAGACAUGGAGUCCAGGCGGCCGCGGUUCCGUCACCCCGCGGACUCCAUUGGAGGAGGCCCCACCCCGCGUGUGGCCGACUUGGAGUUGGAGGGCUUCCUACCCCACGCCCCUUGUCUGCUCUGACGAUGGGUUCCUCCUGGCCGUGAUGAUGCCUGAGACCGGCCGCCACACCCACAAGAAGGACGACGGCAUCUGUAACAACGUCUGCAACAAGGUAAAAUGGGACCAAGCUCAUCCUCCUCGUCCCUAGCUACUACACAACUGCCAUCCUGUAUAUUCCCUCCAGUUCAUGGAGCAUAUGAACCUCUUACUUUUGUAGCUGGUGAAUGAGGCUUUCAAAUGUUGAAGGAGGAGGACAAUAGGAACUUCUAUUAUGUCUUAUCGUCUAAAUUUCUGUUCUAAUUGUCUUUUUCUUAGAAUAGUUUUGUUUGGCACUUACUGUUCCUGGGAUGUAAAGUAUGUAUUGCUAGAAUGAAUGCUUGUAAUAUUAGCAAUAUCAUAUUUUGGGCUCCUAUAACAUUGCACGUUGCUUUGAAAAUGCAUCAGAAGUGGGCUAGGCCCAAGAUAGCUUGCGGUGUGAUGUGUUGUAAUGUCAAUGGUAUAAUAAUUUUUUUGGAUUGGAUCAA